CGCAGAGUAGCUGUGGCUUUGAAUUCCUUUCAUCGACUAUCCUGCGGACUCAUUGGAAGAAGAAAUAUCAUACUCCAGUGGGCCCUAUCCAGAUCAACAAUCUGUCCUCUGGGUAGACGACUGCAGUCAGGCAGCAGAGAAAAUGGUUGAGAUUAAAACAAGCAGUGCCAAGACACACACAGAGACAGCCAAAGAGGAAAGGAGCAAAGAUGGAGAGGAUAAAAAAUAAGAAAGCACUCCCCGCCGAUGCAGCAAGCUGCUGUAAAUUAAUUUUUGUUCAUAUGGGAGCAGGUAAGACUUAAACGCUAGUUGUGCAGACUGAAAAUGUUAGCAUUGCCUCCCUAGUAGAACUAACUUCAUUAGAAGGUUAUUUCCACUUUGAGUUUGAGGAAAGGGUGCAAAACAAACUUAAUAAAACAAAUGUUAAGUUUUUACAAAGGAUAUUGCAAGUUUUAGAAUAUGGUUAACCAACAGAAUGUGGAAAAAUAAACGUGUUUAUUACUAAAAUGUCCAGGAUUUCAGAUUUUGUGUACCCUAAACUCCACUAUUGAAAUCCCUGUAUUAUUUUAUGUUAUUUAAUCUUUAUUUAAAGAGGCAAAUGUUUUUGUUUUAGCAUUUUCAACACUGUACUACUUUUCAUGGCAUAUGUGUUUACAUAAUUUAUUGUUUCUGAACUUUUUCACAAAUUACAGUUCAUGUCAAUUAUACAUCACUUAGAUUCAAGUCAAACUGUCAAAACAAUAUGUUAUGCCAUUAAUAGAACUUUAUUGACCUAAAAUGUACUUAUUAUGUCUUUUUCAUGUACAGCACUUUCAGUU